rnacentral:lncRNA from 1 species
GAGAUGAAGACAUCUUGCUUGGCAGUAGAGUUUGUGUCUGGGGAGGAAAGUGCAAUGGCCAGAACUCAUUGCAUGGUUCUAUGCAGCAACAAAAGGCCUGAGAAGCAAACCAGAACAGGUAAGCACUAGAAGUCACUACCACAUUGUCUGCAGGCAUAAUGAAGCCACUAUGGUAUAGGAGGAGGGUGGCAGAGAAGUAACAUGAUCAUAGUGUUCCCUUUGGAAGAAUAAUCUAGAGGAUGGCCUAGAGUCGGGAGAGGCAGGAGGCCAGUCAGGGAGUUACUAUACUCAAGAGUCAAUAAAGGACUGAGGUAAGGUGGUGGCA